rnacentral:lncRNA from 1 species
AGCCUCUCAAAUCUCAUAGGACUACUCUUCUCUAUUAAGAUCGAUAGAUUCCAUCUAGAUACGCAUCCUACUCCUACAAUGGAUCAACUGUCGCCAACAUCUACUACAAGAUCUCAAUAAGAUUAUAUUUAUGUGUCAGUCAAACUCUAGCAGUCUUACUACGAACAGUCAUACCAUCACAGAUUAAAGGACCAUUUACACAAC